GGGGGGGGGGGCUGCUUUUCAAAAAAAACAAGCAAGGGGAAGGGGGGGAGGGGAAGGGACCAACGGGGGGUAAGGAGGGGGGAAGGGGGGAAAGAAGGGGGACGAAUCAGGGAAGAAGGGAGGAGGAAGAAAAGGGCAAAAAAAAUAAAAGAAAGGAAGGAAGGGGGGAAAAAUUCACCAAAUUUGGUAAAAAAGAGGGGGGGGGUUGCAAGAAAUACCAAUCCAGGGCCUACCGUUCUGGUAAUUGGAAUGAGUGAAGUAUAAACCCCUUUACGAGUAUCAAUUGGAGGGCAAGUCUGGUGCCAGCAGCCGCGGUAAUUCCAGCUCCAAUAGCGUAUAUUAAAGUUGUGGCAGUUAAAAAGCUGGUAGUUGGAUUUCUGUUGUAUAAUUUAUAAUAUUACCAAGGUAAUUAUUAUAUUAUCAACAUCCUUCCUAUUAUAUUCUAAAUAUAUAGGAAAUUUUACUUUGAGAAAAUUAGAGUGCUUAAAGCAGGCAACUGCCUUGAAUACUCCAGCAUGGAAUAAUAAGUAAGGACUUUUGUCUUUCUUAUUGGUUCUAGGACAAAAGUAAUGGUUAAUAGGGACAGUUGGGGGCAUUCGUAUUUAACAGCCAGAGGUGAAAUUCUUAGAUUUGUUAAAGACGAACUACUGCGAAAGCAUUUGCCAAGGAUGUUUUCAUUAAUCAAGAACGAAAGUUAGGGGAUCGAAGACGAUCAGAUACCGUCGUAGUCUACCAUAAGCAGCCGACAGG
rnacentral:rRNA from 1 species